rnacentral:rRNA from 1 species
UACGUAGGGGGCGAGCGUUGUCCGGAAUCAUUGGGCGUAAAGCGCGUGUAGGCGGUCCGGUAAGUCCGCUGUGAAAGUCGGGGGCUCAACCCUCGGAUGCCGGUGGAUACUGUCGGGCUUGAGUGCGGAAGAGGCGAGUGGAAUUCCUGGUGUAGCGGUGAAAUGCGCAGAUAUCAGGAGGAACACCAAUUGCGAAGGCAGCUCGCUGGGACGUUACUGACGCUGAGGAGCGAAAGCGUGGGGAGCGAACAGG